rnacentral:misc_RNA from 1 species
GAUGAAGAACGCAGCGAAAUGCGAUAAGUAAUGUGAAUUGCAGAAUUCAGUGAAUCAUCGAAUCUUUGAACGCACAUUGCGCCCGCCAGUAUUCUGGCGGGCAUGCCUGUUCGAGCGUCAUUACAACCCUCAGGCCCCCGGGCCUGGCGUUGGGGAUCGGCGGAGCCCCCCCGUGGGCACACGCCGUCCCCCAAAUACAGUGGCGGUCCCGCCGCAGCUUCCAUCGCGUAGUAGCUAACACCUCGCGACUGGAGAGCGGCGCGGCCACGCCGUAAAACACCCAACUCUUCUGAAGUUGACCUCGAAUCAGGUAGGAAUACCCGCUGAACUUAAGCAUAUCAAUAAGCGGAGGA